GGGCUCAUAGCUCAGUUGGUUAGAGCAUGCGCUUGAUAAGCGCAGGGUCGAUGGUUCAAGUCCAUCUGGGCCCACCA
rnacentral:tRNA from 2 species